rnacentral:rRNA from 1 species
GCACAAUGGAGGAAACUCUGAUGCAGCAACGCCGCGUGGAGGAUGACGCAUUUCGGUGUGUAAACUCCUUUUAAGAGGGAAGAUAAUGACGGUACCUAUUGCAUAAGCACCGGAUAACUCCCUGCCAACAACCGCGGUAAUACGGAGGGUGCAAGCGUUACUCGGAAUCACUGGGCGUAAAGGGUGCGUAGGCUGACUUUUAAGUCAGGCGUGAAAUCCAAUGGCUUAACCAUUGAACUGCGCUUGAAACUGGGAGUCUAGAGUUCAGAAGGGGCAGAUGGAAUUAAUGGUGUAGGGGUAAAAUCCGUAGAUAUCACUAGGAAUAUCAAAAGCGAAGGCGAUCUGCUGGGAUGAUACUGACGCUGAGGCACGAAAGCGUGGGUAGCAAACAGGAUUAGAUACCCUGGUAGUCCACGCCAUAAACUAUCAAUGCUAGCCGUCGGGGAGCUCGUCUCUUCGGUGAUGCACUUAACAGAUUAAGCAUUCCGCCUGGGGAGUACGGUCGCAAGAUUAAAACUCAAAGGAAUAGACGGGGACCCGCACAAGUGGUGGAGCAUGU